CGUAUACAGAUAUACAGACACAGACAUAGAGAUAGACAUAGACAUAGACGAGUGCAGUGCAGGGCGAGCCGAAUUCUCUAUGGCGCUCAAAUAAUAAAUCCUUCUGCAAAAAGCCCAAACCCGUGUCGAACUUUCACCUUAUCUCUUCUUCUAUGCCGUAAAUCGAAACUCAUUGCUGCAUUUUUCAUCGUCGCUGACCAACUCGUCGCCUACCACUCCAAGGUCCUCGAGCCUCUCUUUGGCAAUCGGUGAUCAUUUUUUCUUUAAUUUUCCUUUCCUGUUACAGAAUCAGCGGCACAAAGGAACCCAGAACAGCCGCUCGCCCUUCGGCUUGUCGCACCGUCGUCCGUUGCCGGUUCAUUCUUGUAAAAUUAGCAGUAUCUGUGCAUCACAAAAUUAGGCCGGUUAAUGUCUUGUAAAAUUGAAAAUAAAGCCUUGGAUUACACGAGUCGCAGAAUCAGUUAAUUAAGUUAUCUUUCUCCAAUUUUCUCAAUUCUGGACAACACCCCCCCUUUUCUGUACAAAAAAUGGCGAAUGUCUCUGUCGCCGCGGAAUGGCAAGUGCUGUUGAAUCGCUUCUACAGGAAGCUGGAGAUAUACCAAAUGCAGUGGAAGCAUGUGGAUUUGAGCCGCAAUAAGGUGGCAUGCGCCCAAUUCGGCGGCCCAAUCGCUAUCAUCCGCGAUGACUCUAAGAUCGUCCAGCUCUACUCGGAAUCCGCCCUCCGUAAACUCCGCAUCUUCAAUUCUGCCGGCAUUCUUGUCUCCGAAACCGUAUGGAAACACCCCGGUGGCCGCCUAAUUGGCAUGUCAUGGACCGACGAUCAAACCCUAAUCUGCAUAGUCCAAGACGGCACGAUUUACCGAUAUAAUAUCAAUGCGGAAUGCCUUGAACCCAAUUUUUCCAUGGGGAAAGAGUGCUUCGAGCAGAAUGUGGUGGAUUGCGUUUUUUGGGGGAACGGUGUUGUGUGUUUGACAGAGGCCGGGAAGUUGUUCUGCGUGGCGGAUUUUAAGGAUAUAAAACCAUAUAAGAUGGCAGAUCUUGUAGUUGAGAUGGAGGAAGAGCUUCCGCAUUGCAUGGCGGUGAUAGAACCCCAGUAUACUGUGUCAGGGAAUGUCGAGGUGCUGUUGGGAAUGGGGGAUAAGAUUUUGAGAGUGGAUGACGAUGACGUGAGACCGGUGGAAAUCGAAGAACUGCAGGGACCAGUGCAGAAAAUUGCAGUUUCACAUGAUGGGAGGUUUUUGGCGUGUUUCAGACAUGAUGGUACUCUUGUCAUGUGGAAUUUAGAAUCGGGGUCCUGCUAUGAACAUCCGUGUGAGUCAGCCCUUCCUCCAGAGCAGAUGGCUUGGUGUGGAUUGGACAGUGUGCUGCUUUAUUGGGAUGAUAUGCUUUUGAUGGUGGUUCCUGACGAUCAUGUAUCUUACACGUAUGAUGAACCUGUGAUUCUAAUCCCUGAGUGUGAUGGAGUGAGGAUAUUAUCAAAUACAAGUAUGGAGUUUCUACAACGAGUACCUGAUUCCACUGAAUCUAUCUUUAAGAUAGGCAGCACAUCACCUGCAUCUUUACUAUUUGAUGCUUUGGACCAUUUUGACAGGCGGAGUGCUAAGGCUGAUGAAAAUUUGAGAUUGAUUCGCACAUCCUUGCCUGAGGCUGUUGAAGCAUGUGUCGAUGCUGCAGGUCAUGAAUUUGAUGUUUCCCGUCAACGGACACUACUAAGAGCUGCAAGCUACGGCCAAGCCUUUUGUAGUUGGCUUUGGCAGCAACUUCCCACGUGACUGCAUUCAAGAUAUGUGCAAAACUUUGCGGGUUUUAAAUGCUGGGCGCGACUCUAGGAUUGGUAUCUCUCUAAGUAUUCAGCAAUAUAAGUCUCUUACAGCACCUGUUUUGAUUGGUCGUUUGAUUAAUGCUCACCAACACCUUCUUGCACUAAGGAUAGCUGAGUACCUUGGAAUGAAUCAAGUAAGUUUUGAAUACAAUCAUGAUUGUUUGGUCGUCAUAUUUUAUUGGCAUCUUCAGUUAUGGUGCUUUUUCCAUAAAUUGAAUGUUGAAAUGUUAAUUGGUUUCUUUGGAGGAUUAAUUAUUUAUCAUUUACUUAAAUAUCAAUUAUUCCUUGCAUACCACUAGUUUUCUAGGAUGCAUUAUCAUAUUAUGAUGUAUAUAUAGUUUGUAGCUUAUAGAGCCUCAUACCAUCGACUUCUCUGCCACUUUGCCUGCUAUUGUCUAGAUGGUUAUGAUGUAAGGUUUGGAAUCUAAAUUGUAGAGUUGUACAUAUAAAACUUUGUGAAGGGAAAUUGGCAAAUAAAAACUUUUGAAACUAGAGAAAGUAUGGGCAUUCGUAAUGGAAUUAUUGAAACGUUAACUGGAGAAAAUGCAUAUAAUUUGGCACCAUUGAACUCUAAUUUGUGACUAAUCAAACGUUAGUUUCAAUUUUUGGUAAUGGACUUAUAAUUUAAGUUCUUCACAAACUUAAGCUUUUGAGUUAUGACCAAACUUUUUGAUGCCUCUUGGUGCGAAUUUUAGCGCCAUUCAUUUCUAGGAUGAAACAUUCAUGUAUACUAUUACUAAAGCUAUAAUCUAAAGGUGGAUUUGACAUUAAAUACUUUGUUGAGUAGUGGUUUUAAUUUAGUACAUGAUAUUGUAGGGCAAAAUGUUGAUGCAUCUAAAGCUGUAAUUUUGAACAUUUAUUUUUGGCUCAAUAUAUAAAUUCACCUUUGUACUUUUUACGAAAAGUCUUGUGGCACUCUCAGAUUUUACUUUGACACAUUGAACAUUUCAAUUUGUAAAAUAUGUACCUAUUAAACACUUUAUUUAUCAAUUUUAUCCUUAAUAAUUAUUUUACUAAGAGUAAAACAAAGUUCAAUGAAAGUCUUUUGGAGGGUAUUUUUUUAAGAAGUAUAAUUCAUUAAAAAUAGAUUCUCAAGUAUUACAAAUACUUAUAUAGAUCAGAGAUGGAACUUAAUAUCUUAGUUGAUAGAGUUCGCCAAUCUUUUGAAAAACCAAAAGAAAUUUUUAUAUUCUUUGGAACGAUAAAACUAAAAUUAAAAGAGAUAAAUCUUUCCAUUUGAAGACGAUUUUGAUAAAAGAUAUAAAACUUUAUAGAGGCAACUAGUCCUUUAUUUGAUUUGGACAACAAAAUAGCUUCUCUAUUAUACUUGGAUUGUUUUUCUAAGAAUUUGUUACAUAUGACGUACACAAAUGAGUUCGCCCUACUAGCGCAUCAAUGACAUCAAUGGAGGAACAUGCCAUCGUAUUAGACUUUGUUGAUCGAAGAUUUAGACCUGCAAAUCAAGAUCUAACCAACCUAAAAAAUCAAAUAUCAUACCUUUAUUUAGUAAUAGAUGCAAACAAAGAAGGAACUACAUCCUCACAAAAGAAGGGACAAAAGAACUUCAUAUAUGGAGACAAAGCAACAAUAACAAAGGCAAAGCAUCAAUAGCAAAAAAAAAAAAAAAAAAAAAAAAAAAA